AGAGAACAGCAAUGUGUUGCACACUAACAUGAACAUUUUUCCUGCUAAUUACUACAGGAGAAACAUGGGGACUGAGUAUGUAAAGUACGAUGGCUGACCUGGACAACGGACACUGCCAUUCUGCGAACUGAUCUACUGAAGUGAAAUAGAGGUUAAGACCGAUGAAUUAUCCUUGUGAUGAAUGCAUACAAUGUUUAUUACAAGGAUAUAACCCAUGAUAAGAGAUGUGGAUAAAGAAAAGAGAGUUGAACGAUGGAUUGAGAGUGGUGAAACAUUUCAUGAUGUCAUUUUCACAGAUGAAUCGUCUGUUGCCCUUGAGCGGAUCUCCAGAAUGUCACUCCGGAAACGUAACCAUAUCUCAUUAAAACCACGCCCAAAGCA